rnacentral:rRNA from 2 species
AGCAGCCGCGGUAAUUCCAGCUCCAAUAGCGUAUAUUAAAGUUGUUGCAGUUAAAAAGCUCGUAGUUGAAUUUCGGGAUUAGUACGUCGGUCGUGCCUUCGGUACGUACUGGUGUUACUGAUUCCUACCUUCUGACGAACCAUCAUGUCAUUAAUUUGGUGUGGCGGGGAAUCAGGACUGUUACUUUGAAAAAAUUAGAGUGUUUAAAGCAGGCUCGCGCUUGAAUACAUUAGCAUGGAAUAAUGAAAUAGGACGUUGACCCUAUUUUGUUGGUUUCUAGGAUUGACGUAAUGAUUAAUAGGGAUAGUUGGGGGCAUUAGUAUUCAAUUGUCAGAGGUGAAAUUCUUGGAUUUAUUGAAGACUAACUACUGCGAAAGCAUUUGCCAAGGAUGUUUUCAUUAAUCAAGAACGAAAGUUAGGGGAUCGAAGACGAUCAGAUACCGUCGUAGUCUUAACCAUAAACUAUGCCGACUAGGGAUCGGAUGAUGUUAUUUUUAAUGACUCA